CAGCCGCCGCGGUAAUACGUAGGUGGCAAGCGUUGUCCGGAAUUAUUGGGCGUAAAGGGCUCGCAGGCGGUUUCUUAAGUCUGAUGUGAAAGCCCCCGGCUCAACCGGGGUGGGUCAUUGGAAACUGGGAAACUUGAGUGCAGAAGAGGAGAGUGGAAUUCCACGUGUAGCGGUGAAAUGCGUAGAGAUGUGGAGGAACACCAGUGGCGAAGGCGACUCUCUGGUCUGUAACUGACGCUGAGGAGCGAAAGCGUGGGGAGCGAACAGGAUUAGAUACCCCCGUAGUCCCUGUCUCUUAUAC
rnacentral:rRNA from 1 species